rnacentral:rRNA from 1 species
GGAUUAGAUACCCUGGUAGUCCACGCCGUAAACGAUGAGCACUAGUUGUUGCGGGUAUUGACCCCUGCAGUGACGACGCUAACGCGUUAAGUGCUCCGCCUGGGGAGUACGGCCGCAAGGUUGAAACUCAAAGGAAUUGACGGGGGCCCGCACAAGCGGUGGAGCAUGUGGUUUAAUUCGAAGGUACACGAAGAACCUUACCAGCUCUUGACAUCGGGCUUUAUAUGACUAGGAGAUCUAGUUUGCCGGGCAACCGGAGGCCCAGACAGGUGUUGCAUGGCCGUCGUCAGCUCGUGUUG